rnacentral:rRNA from 1 species
UACGUAGGGUGCAAGCGUUAAUCGGAAUUACUGGGCGUAAAGCGCGCGUAGGUGGCCUCAUAAGUCCGCUGUGAAAGUCAAAGGCUCAACCUUUGAAAGCCGGUGGAUACUGUGAGGCUAGAGUACGGAAGAGGAGAGUGGAAUUCCUGGUGUAGCGGUGAAAUGCGCAGAUAUCAGGAAGAACACCAAUGGCGAAGGCAGCUCUCUGGGACGGUACUGACGCUGAGACGCGAAAGCGUGGGGAGCGAACAGG